rnacentral:misc_RNA from 1 species
GUUUUCUUGUAAAUUAUGUUUCGUUUUUAUUUGGGAAUCAUUCUCAGGAUUUUCAGCAUUUAGGCUUCAGUAUGCUUCACAAUGGAAAAAUCUGGUUAUCUGUUGUGGGCUUUGUGGAUGAGACAGCUUAUAUGAGUGGUUGAGUGCCAGGAAGCUCAUUUUAAUAGCCAUAAAAAUGCAUCAUCCCUUUCUGCCUUCUUUGAAAGAUAUCAUACAAAGUCUUUCUUUGGAUUUUCAUGAUCUUUUAUUUGUUAAAUUAGUUUGUAUGCUGUAUUGGCUUGGUGAAAUAGUGGGAUGCAUAAUGGGUAAUCUGACGAUCUGUGCUUUCCUUUGGACCUUUAUUGGCAGUUCACGAGGGUUUUUUGUCUUGUGUUUGAAGUAUUUUGUAGGGCCUCGU